GUCCAGACUCCUACGGGAGGCAGCAGUGGGGGAUAUUGCACAAUGGGGGAAACCCUGAUGCAGCGACGCCGCGUGAGUGAGGAAGUAUUUCGGUAUGUAAAGCUCUAUCAGCAGGGAAGAAAAUGACAGUACCUGACCAAGAAGCCCCGGCUAACUACGUGCCAGCAGCCGCGGUAAUACGUAGGGGGCAAGCGUUAUCCGGAUUUACUGGGUGUAAAGGGAGCGUAGACGGCGAUACAAGUCUGAAGUGAAAGCCCGGGGCUCAACCCCGGGACUGCUUUGGAAACUGUGUUGCUGGAGUGCUGGAGAGGCAAGCGGAAUUCCUAGUGUAGCGGUGAAAUGCGUAGAUAUUAGGAGGAACACCAGUGGCGAAGGCGGCUUACUGGACUGUAACUGACGUUGAGGCUCGAAAGCGUGGGGAGCAAACAGGAUUAGAUACCCCGGUAA
rnacentral:rRNA from 1 species